rnacentral:rRNA from 1 species
UACGGAGGGUGCGAGCGUUGCUCGGAAUCAUUGGGCGUAAAGCGUACGCAGGCGGCUAUUCAAGUCGGGUGUGAAAGCCCAGGGCUCAACCCUGGAAAUGCGCCCGAGACUGGAUGGCUUGAGUGCGGGAGAGGGAAGCGGAAUUCCUGGUGUAGAGGUGAAAUUCGUAGAUAUCAGGAGGAACACCGGUGGCGAAAGCGGCUUCCUGGCCCGACACUGACGCUCAUGUACGAAAGCGUGGUGAGCAAACAGG